CCAAUGGCAUUGGAAUUCAAAUCCAAAGAAGAAAGAGAGGUGUUUACUCUGAGGGCCUGAGCAAGUGAAUUUGCCCCCUCAUCACCAAUGGAAUU